rnacentral:rRNA from 1 species
UGGUAGAUGUUCUUACCGAGUUUACACUCCCAACCCAAUAGUGAACGUUACCAAACUAGUUAGCCUCGGCGGGAUCUCUGCCCCGGGUGCGUCGCAGCCCCGGACCAAGGCGCCCGCCGGAGGACCAACCAAAACUCUUAUUGUAUACCCCCUCGCGGGUUUUUUUAUAAUCUGAGCCUUCUCGGCGCCUCUCGUAGGCGUUUCGAAAAUGAAUCAAAACUUUCAACAACGGAUCUCUUGGUUCUGGCAUCGAUGAAAAACGCAGCGAAGUGCGAUAAGUAAUGUGAAUUGCAAAAUUCAUUGAAUCAUCAAAUCUUUGAACGCACAUUGCGCCCGCCAGUAUUCUGGCGGGCAUGCCUGUCCGAGCGUCAUUUCACCCCUCAAAGCCCUCCGGGGGGUCGAUGGUUGAGAAUCGGUCCUGCUUCUUGGCGGGGGGCGGAUAAAAUAAUACUUGGUUUGGUUCACCCCGCCCGCCGCCUGGUUCGGGGUUGCCAACCACCCGGGGGAGAGAUCCCACCCAAGAACAUUUUGGUUCGGAUUAUUUGGAGCUUGGGAGGUGGGAAAACCGCAAAGAUC